CCUACGGGAGGCAGCAGUAGGGAAUCUUUCACAAUGGGCGAAAGCCUGAUGGAGCAACGCCGCGUGCAGGAUGAAGGCCUUCGGGUUGUAAACUGCUGUUAUAAGCGAGAAACAUGUUGGUAACUAAUGAAUAAGGAACGGCGAAUAACGUGUCAGCAGACGCCGGCGUACGUAGGAGCCGAACAUUAUCAGGAGGAACUGGCUGUAAUGUGUUCCGUAGGUGGUGUUAUUAAUGGCUUGUGGAAACUGGUGGGUCAACCAUUCAGACUAUUAGGUAAACUGGUAAGCUAGAGUUAGAUAGAGGUAAGCGGAAUUGCAUGUGUAGCGGUGAAAUGCGUAGAUAUAAGGAAGAACACCAAUGGCGAAGGCAGGUUACUGGGACGAUACUGACGCUGAGGGACGAAAGCGUGGGGAGCAAACGGGAUUAGAUACCCGUGUAGUC
rnacentral:rRNA from 1 species